rnacentral:rRNA from 1 species
CCUACGGGGGGCAGCUGUGAGGAAUAUUGGUCAAUGGACGAGAGUCUGAACCAGCCAAGUAGCGUGAAGGAUGACUGCCCUAUGGGUUGUAAACUUCUUUUAUAUGGGAAUAAAAUGUUCCACGUGUGGGAUUUUGUAUGUACCAUAUGAAUAAGGAUCGGCUAACUCCGUGCCAGCAGCCGCGGUAAUACGGAGGAUCCGAGCGUUAUCCGGAUUUAUUGGGUUUAAAGGGAUCGUAGGUGGAUUGUUAAGUCAGUUGUGAAAGUUUGCGGCUCAACCGUAAAAUUGUAGUUGAAACUGGCAGUCUUGAGUACAGUAGAGGUGGGCGGAAUUCGUGGUGUAGCGGUGAAAUGCUUAGAUAUCACGAAGAACUCCGAUUGCGAAGGCAGUUCACUGGACUGCAACUGACACUGAGGCUCGAAAGUGUGGGUAUCAAACAGGAUUAGAUACCCCGGUAGUC